CUGGAGGCUUAUAAUUGCUAACCAAAAGUACAGCAAAACGGCAGAGGCUUCUGUUAACGGCAGCUGUGCUCUGAAGAUAAGGACGAUAAAACGCCAGCCAGCGAGGAGAGCUCUUUGGAGGGAAAUUUGCAGUGUGCUUUGAACUAUCCCAGGAAUCCCAAACUGGUGUUUCUCAGCCUGCCUGUCACCCCCAGGAGCAACGUGAGCAGCCUUUGUUGGACCUGGAGUGUUGCUUUUGGUAUCCUUCCCUGAGAGGUACAGUCCGGCGGCACAGCUCAAACACCUCAAAUCUGGAGAACUGACAGAACUGAGCCUAAUGGCCGUUCACCAACAGACUUGUUGGUCCCCGAGAAGGGGCACUGGUACGUCCAGG